GUGCUUGCUUCAGCAGUACAUAUACUAAAAUUGGAAUGAUAUAGAGACGAUUAGCAUGGUCCUUGCACAAGGAUGACAUGAAAAUUCAUGAAGUAUUCCAUAUUUUU
ensembl:snRNA U6 U6 spliceosomal RNA